GACCAAUAAGUAGGCUGGAGAGUUCAGGG
rnacentral:piRNA from 1 species